rnacentral:rRNA from 1 species
CCCUUAGAUGUUCUGGGCCGCACGCGCGCUAUAAUGAUGAAUUCAACGAGUUUAUAACCUUGGUUGAAAAGCCUGGGUAAUCUUUUGAACUUUCGUCGUGAUGGGGCUAGACCCUUGCAAUUAUUGGUCUCCAACGAGGAAUUCCUAGUAAACGCAAGUCAUCAGCUUGCAUUGAUUACGUCCCUGCCCUUUGUACACACCGCCCGUCGCACCUACCGAUUGAAUGGUCCGGUGAAAUCUUCGGACUGUGGCUUUGAUUUGUUAACUCAAAACGCUGUUAUGGGAAGUUGAUUAAACCUUACCAUUUAGAGGAAGGUGAAGUCGUAACA